rnacentral:rRNA from 1 species
CACGAAGUUAGCCGGUGCUUAUUCUUUGGGUACCGUCAGAACAAUCGGGUAUUAACCGACUGCUUUUCUUUCCCAACAAAAGGGCUUUACAACCCGAAGGCCUUCUUCACCCACGCGGCAUGGCUGGAUCAGGCUUGCGCCCAUUGUCCAAUAUUCCCCACUGCUGCCUCCCGUAGGAGUCUGGACCGUGUCUCAGUUCCAGUGUGGCUGAUCAUCCUCUCAGACCAGCUACGGAUCGUCGCCUUGGUGGGCCUUUACCCCGCCAACUAGCUAAUCCGACAUCGGCUCAUUCAAUCGCGCGAAGCCCGAAGGUCCUCCGCUUUCACCCGUAGGUCGUAUGCGGUAUUAGCGUAAGUUUCCCUACGUUAUCCCCCACGAAAGAGUAGAUUCCGAUGUAUUCCUCACCCGUCCGCCACUCGCCACCCAUAAGAGCAAGCUCUUACUGUGCUGCCGUUCGACUUGCAUGUGUUAGGCCUGCCGCCAGCGUUCACUCUGAGCCAGGAUCAAACUCU